rnacentral:rRNA from 1 species
UGGGGAAUAUUGGACAAUGGGCGCAAGCCUGAUCCAGCCAUGCCGCGUGGGUGAUGAAGGCCUUAGGGUUGUAAAGCCCUUUCGGCGGGGAAGAUAAUGACGGUACCCGCAGAAGAAGCCCCGGCUAACUUCGUGCCAGCAGCCGCGGUAAUACGAAGGGGGCUAGCGUUGCUCGGAAUUACUGGGCGUAAAGCGCACGUAGGCGGCUUGUUAAGACAGGUGUGAAAUUCCUGGGCUCAACCCAGGACGUGCGCCUGUGACUGGCGGGCUUGAAUCCGGGAGAGGAUGGUGGAACUCCCAGUGUAGAGGUAAAAUUCGUAGAUAUUGGGAAGAACACCCGUGGCGAAGGCGGCCAUCUGGACCGGUAUUGACGCUAAGGCGCGACAGCGUGGGGAGCAAACA